rnacentral:piRNA from 1 species
UGUCCCUACUAACUUGAUGCGAUGACUC